UAAAAUUCCUUUCCUAUAACAAACUCUGGGCUGGUUAUGCUCUCUUGCUUGACCUAAAUAAGCAAGGAGUAUCCCAUAUUUCUACAUAAUAGUCCACCAUAUCCAGAAACUUCAGAGAACUCCUUGAAUGCUGCUGAUUUGAUCAAGGCAUAAGCACAUUCUUGGAAAUUUUGAAGGGUUAAAAUGCUUUCAGGGAAUUAUUUUACUUCCUUUAAGCAAUGCUGAUUAGAAUUUUUAAAAGAAGUUAUUUACUUUGGGAAACAGAAAUCCAAUCAGACAUAGGUAAACAAGGAAACCAAGCCAGCUAUUAGUUGGUUUUUGAUUACAUUAUUAUGAAGUGAUACUUAAAUAGUGGGAAAGAAAUUUAAAAUUAGAGACAGCAGUUUCAGAGGCAAAGGAUAUCUAGCAGCUGAAUUCAUUUCUCCCUAAAGAGGAUCUGAAACAAUAAAAAGAAACAAGAUGCCAUUCAAAUCACACCUGGCUGUCCUUGUUCUCGGGCUAUGUGAGCUCCAUUUAAUUGGCAGUGUAAACAAUGACAAGAUUGCCCUCAUUAUCCAGACCAACAACAAGGAUAAGGCAGUCCCCACCACUGGCGAUAAGACCACCCAGGACAAGACUGCCCCCCACAGCCAGCCCACCUCCAUCACCCAGCUGACCAGCAAGGACAAAUCCCAGACCCCAAUCACCACCCACCCCACCAGCAACGACAAAGACAAGACACUCUCCACCACCCACGCCACCAGCAACGACAAAGAUAACACAGUCUCCACCGCCUACGCCACCAGCAACGACAAAGAUAACACAGUCUCCACCACCCACGCCACCAGCAACGACAAAGACAAGACAGUCUUCACCACCCAGCCCAACAUGGACAAUGCUCGAUCAACCACAAAACUUCCAAAGAAGUUGACAUGGAAAAGUGAUACAACUUCUCAUCCUGGAGGCUCAGCUGCUACAAUCCCUUCAAUGUUUACUAUUGCAUCACUGAUAUGUGUUCUUUUGCUGUAGAUUUAAUGCCCCUCUUCUACUUUUCCACACGUAAAUCACUGAUACCAAUGUCAUUACGCUAAGAAGUCAACUCUUCUUGGCACCACUUUCCCAAGUGGGGUGCAUUUUCAUUCUUUCAGUGGGCUCUGCAACCUUUUCAGAUUAAUUCUUAAAUUAUGUGAUAUUAUGCCGUAUGCAACUCUUUGUUAAGGUGUUUUCCUAGCCACUCCAGUUCUGUAGUCACCCCACUGUCAGCUUCAUUACCCACCAGUGUUUAGUUUAUCACUAUCCUCAGCAUGCUAUGUAGGUACCAAGAUUUUCCUAGACUAUGACUAUUAAAGCUGUGGAAUUCUCAGGGAGUUGGGUUAUGGGGUAUUUGCUCCGUAUAUGUGGUUUUCUGCUUUUAACCCAAGCCAUGUGGAGUGAGCUGUGAUAAUAGGGUGACGGGUUCUAUAUAAAUAUAAAGCAGCAUUUACAAUGGUAGGUACUAAUUCUACAAAUGAACUAACAGGACAAAGGAGAGGAAAGGUAAAUUUUCUUGGAUUCAUGCUCGGGUACUAGCUGGAGUGUGCCAGCAUUCAGCAUGCUUUCUUGGCAAAAAAGAGAAAAACCUGUCUCUCUCUCGAAAGGCUUUUCACAUCUGAUAAGUCAGUUUAUUUACUUGUAUUAAACAUAACCAUUCAAAGUGAAUCUGUUCACAUCUGUACUCAAAUAUUCGGGACUGAGUAAUUAAGAUACUCUAAAAUGAAGCCUUAAUGAAAAGGCAGUACAACAAAUACACUAGCUAUGCCUUGUAAAAGUGCUAAGAUUCUUGUAUUAAGGAAAGACAUGCCAAUUUAAAAUCCCUUGCAGUUCUAUUUAGCAGUCAAGCUUUUAAAAAAAUUCUGUAAAAAUGUUUUAAGGUACAAUUUUUUAAGUUGUUUCUUGGCCAUAUUGCUAUGUCACAAUUAAAAUAUGCCUCUAUUCUGCA